GUCCACGCCCUAAACGAUGUCAACUGGUUGUUGGACGGCUUGCUGUUCAGUAACGAAGCUAACGCGUGAAGUUGACCGCCUGGGGAGUACGGCCGCAAGGUUGAAACUCAAAGGAAUUGACGGGACCCGCACAAGCGGUGGAUGAUGUGGUUUAAUUCGAUGCAACGCGAAACCUUACCUACCCUUGACAUGUCUGGAAUCCUGAAGAGAUUUGGGAGUGCUCGAAAGAGAACCAGAACACAGGUGCUGCAUGGCCGUCGU
rnacentral:rRNA from 1 species